rnacentral:rRNA from 1 species
UCCUACGGGGGGCAGCAGUCGGGAAUAUUGCGCAAUGGAGGAAACUCUGACGCAGUGACGCCGCGUAUAGGAAGAAGGUUUUCGGAUUGUAAACUAUUGUCGUUAGGGAAGAUAAAAGACUGUACCUAAGGAGGAAGCCCCGGCUAACUAUGUGCCAGCAGCCGCGGUAAUACAUAGGGGGCAAGCGUUAUCCGGAAUUAUUGGGUGUAAAGGGUGCGUAGACGGGACAGCAAGUUAGUUGUGAAAGCCCUCGGCUUAACUGAGGAACUGCAACUAAAACUAUUGUUCUUGAGUGCAGGAGAGGA